UCUUAUGAAGUUAGCGGCGGACGGGUGAGUAACACGUGGGUAACCUGCCCAUAAGACUGGGAUAACUCCGGGAAACCGGGGCUAAUACCGGAUAACAUUUUGAACCGCAUGGUUCGAAAUUGAAAGGCGGCUUCGGCUGUCACUUAUGGAUGGACCCGCGUCGCAUUAGCUAGUUGGUGAGGUAACGGCUCACCAAGGCAACGAUGCGUAGCCGACCUGAGAGGGUGAUCGGCCACACUGGGACUGAGACACGGCCCAGACUCCUACGGGAGGCAGCAGUAGGGAAUCUUCCGCAAUGGACGAAAGUCUGACGGAGCAACGCCGCGUGAGUGAUGAAGGCUUUCGGGUCGUAAAACUCUGUUGUUAGGGAAGAACAAGUGCUAGUUGAAUAAGCUGGCACCUUGACGGUACCUAACCAGAAAGCCACGGCUAACUACGUGCCAGCAGCCGCGGUAAUACGUAGGUGGCAAGCGUUAUCCGGAAUUAUUGGGCGUAAAGCGCGCGCAGGUGGUUUCUUAAGUCUGAUGUGAAAGCCC
rnacentral:rRNA from 1 species